UACGGGGGGGGCAAGCGUUGUUCGGAAUUACUGGGCGUAAAGGGCUCGUAGGCGGCCAACUAAGUCAGACGUGAAAUCCCUCGGCUUAACCGGGGAACUGCGUCUGAUACUGGAUGGCUUGAGUUUGGGAGAGGGAUGCGGAAUUCCAGGUGUAGCGGUGAAAUGCGUAGAUAUUAGGAAGAACACCGGUGGCGAAGGCGGCCAUCUGGCUCGGUACUGACGCUCAGGCGCGAAAGCGUGGGGAGCAAACAGG
rnacentral:rRNA from 1 species